rnacentral:rRNA from 1 species
UACGGAGGGUGCAAGCGUUAUCCGGAUUCACUGGGUUUAAAGGGUGCGUAGGUGGGUUGGUAAGUCAGUGGUGAAAUCUCCAGGCUUAACUUGGAAACUGCCAUUGAUACUAUUAAUCUUGAAUGCCGUGGAGGUCAGCGGAAUAUGUCAUGUAGCGGUGAAAUGCUUAGAUAUGACACAGAACACCGAUUGCGAAGGCAGCUCACUAAGCCAUAACUGACGCUGAUGCACGAAAGCGUGGGGAGCAAACAGG